UAGGGAAUCUUCCACAAUGGACGCAAGUCUGAUGGAGCAACGCCGCGUGAGUGAAGAAGGUCUUCGGAUCGUAAAACUCUGUUGUUAGAGAAGAACACGAGUGAGAGUAACUGUUCAUUCGAUGACGGUAUCUAACCAGCAAGUCACGGCUAACUACGUGCCGAG
rnacentral:rRNA from 1 species